GGCUUUGUGGUCGAGUGGUAAGGGUCUUGUCUCUCAUUCUGGAGUCACGGCUUCGAUCCCCGGUCGAGGAGCUG